rnacentral:ncRNA from 2 species
GAGCGUUCUCAGGGCGGGGUGGAACUCCCCACCGGCGGUAAGCAUCUGUAUUGUGCAAGCCCGCGAGCGCCUCUCUUAUGAGGGGGUCAAGCAGAUCAGGUGAAAUUCCUGAGCCGACGGUUAAAGUCCGGAUGGAAGAGAACGUGC